GAUGAACGCUAGCGGCAGGCUUAAUACAUGCAAGUCGUGGGGCAGCAGGGGAGUAGCAAUACAUCUGCUGGCGACCGGCAAACGGGUGCGUAACACGUACGCAACCUUCCCGUUACUGUGGCAUAGCCCAGGGAAACUUGGAUUAAUACCACAUAUUAUAUAGAGAGGGCAUCCUUUUUAUAUCAAUGCUUCGGCGGUAACGGAUGGGCGUGCGGUUGAUUAGGUAGUUGGCGGGGUAACGGCCCACCAAGCCUACGAUCAAUAGCUGAUGUGAGAGCAUGAUCAGCCACACGGGCACUGAGACACGGGCCCGACUCCUACGGGAGGCAGCAGUAAGGAAUAUUGAGCAAUGGACGAAAGUCUGACCCAGCCAUGCCGCGUGAAGGAUUAAGGUCCUCUGGAUUGUAAACUUCUUUUCUCUGGGGCGAAAACCAGCUAUUCUUAGCUAUUUGACAGUACCAGAGGAAUAAGCACCGGCUCACUCCGUGCCAGCAGCCGCGGUAAUAC
rnacentral:rRNA from 1 species